rnacentral:lncRNA from 1 species
UUAUGAGAGACAACCAUUUUCUAAGACUGAAAAGUAAUUUCUCAGCAAGCAGUCUCCUGUGAACACCACUCCAGACAAGUUCAUCUUCAGCCAACGAAGAUCAUCAGCCAAACAUCUGGGUCUGGCAGCCCCAACAGCUGCAUGCACUUUCAGUUCAAGCAUCAUCCAUAUGGGUGUCAUUAGCCUCCUAAUUGACCUCAGGGUCUGGAUGUGGAAGAGGGCAGCCAAGCAGUGUGGAGGCAUCCACAUGGGCUAAACUGAGAGG